rnacentral:hammerhead_ribozyme from 1 species
AUCUGGCUGAUGAGUCCCAAAUAGGACGGAACGCGCGUCUUGUAU